rnacentral:rRNA from 1 species
UACGUAGGCAGCGAGCGUUGUUCGGAGUUACUGGGCGUAAAGGGUGUGUAGGCGGUUGUUUAAGUUUGGUGUGAAAUCUCCCGGCUCAACUGGGAGGGUGCGCCGAAUACUGAAUGACUUGGAGUGCGGGAGAGGAAAGUGGAAUUCCUGGUGUAGCGGUGAAAUGCGUAGAUAUCAGGAAGAACAUCGGUGGCGAAGGCGCUCUGCUGGACCAUAACUGACACUCAGGGACGAAAGCUAGGGGAGCGAAUGGG